GUGGCAGCUGGCCUGUCUCGGCCCUUGGCGGCCCUCGAGCGCCUGCUGCAGCGCUUCAGAGCCCCCCCGAAACAGGCACUGAUGGUAAUGCAGCAAGGAGGUCCAGGACCUGCAACUCUUUGGCUAAUUUGAAGUCUUCAAGGGAGGAAAUCCUGGGGAGUCCAGAGAAUGGUGGUCAUCUUCACCAGCGGCAAAGCCAGCUGCAAGGAAGAUGGGCAUUCAGGCGCAGGAUUCACUGAAACAGCCCUGGAGUUGGAAGAGAACUGAAAAGUGGCUUAAGAAUGACAGGAGUUUUGCCUGAAUAAGAAUUUGAGAAAAGGAAACUGAAUAAGGACUUCAAGAUUUGGAAACUGAAGAAUUGUUUCACUGUGCAGAAAAAUAAAUGCUCUCAGACAACAAUAUUUCUAGAAAGAAGAAAACUUUCACUGGAAAUAACUGCAGUUUUGCAUGACCUAUGAAACACAAGCACAACUAACAGCAGCAACAUGGUGGCACCACCUCCUGAGAAAGGUUCCUGGGGCAGAGCUUCCACUGGAACAAUGACAGUUUACACCAGCUGAGGAUCUGGCCCCUUCACCUAGGUUUCGGAAUGAAUGCUAAGUGUAUACCUGCUCAAACUCAUCCAUAUCAUGAGUUUUGGUCCUUGUUUCUCAAAAAGGCUCACAGCAGUUCUUCCCAACAAGACUCUAUAAUGCUAAAGUUACCCUAAUUAAAACCAUGUUUCAGUCAGAAUAAUAGUUAAGUUAGUCAAGCAGAAUAUAGGCCCGAAUAUAGUCAAUCAGGGCCC